AGUACCGUGAGGGAAAGUUGCAAAGCACUUUGAAGAGAGAGUUUAAGAGGACGUGAAACCGAUAAGAUCGAAACGGAGAGAGGCAACAAAUAAUGCUUGCAUUCAACUGUCAUAGUGCGCGCUGUUGGAUUUAGUAAUCUCGUUUAGAGUUACUGGUUUUUCUAGUGUGCAAAAUGGCAUUGCAUUUGCAAGUGUAUUGUGCUAAAGCGUGUAACCCAGUUGUUGGAAAUUUGUUAAGAGGACUUCUUCGGAAGAACCCUUGUCAAAUAGACUGCAGUUUGAGUUGCGCGUAAACAGUUUGGCUAACGAGCAAUUGGGUUGUUGUAGUUGCUGUCAAUGGGGAUCGCUUGCGAUACUYGUUGUCUGGCGGUUGCAAUAAUUUYGUUGUUCUCAAACCGUCUUUAGUAUAAAAGUUGUUCAUCUCUCCGACCCGUCUUGAAACACGGACCAAGGAGUUUAUCGUUUAUGCAAGUCAUUGAGUUUUUAAAACUUAAAGGCGAAAUGAAAGUAAAGAAGCUGCAAAGUUUUUAUAUGUGAUCUUGGCCAUUUAUGGUUAAGAGCAGCAUAUCCCCGUCUUGACCGCUUGCGGUAGGGCGGAGGUAGAGCGUUAGCGAUUAGACCCGAAAGAUGGUGAACUAUGCUUGAACAGGAUGAAGCCAGAGGAAACUCUGGUGGAAGUCCGAAGCGAUUCUGACGUGCAAAUCGAUCGUCUGAUUUGAGUAUAGGGGCGAAAGACUAAUCGAACCAUCUAGUAGC
rnacentral:rRNA from 1 species